GAAUUCGCCCUUAGAGUUUGAUCCUGGCUCAGGACGAACGCUGGCGGCGUGCCUAACACAUGCAAGUCGAACGGACGAGAGGGAGCUUGCUCCCUCAAGUUAGUGGCGGACGGGUGAGUAACGCGUGAGUAACCUGCCUUUCAGAGGGGAAUAACAUUCUGAAAAGGAUGCUAAUACCGCAUGACAUCGUAGUAUCGCAUGGUACAGCGAUCAAAGGAGCAAUCCGCUGAAAGAUGGACUCGCGUCCGAUUAGCUAGUUGGCGGGAUAAAGGCCCACCAAGGCGACGAUCGGUAGCCGGACUGAGAGGUUGAUCGGCCACAUUGGGACUGAGACACGGCCCAGACUCCUACGGGAGGCAGCAGUGGGGGAUAUUGCACAAUGGGGGAAACCCUGAUGCAGCAACGCCGCGUGAAGGAAGAAGGUCUUCGGAUUGUAAACUUCUGUCCUCAGGGAAGAUAAUGACGGUACCUGAGGAGGAAGCUCCGGCUAACUACGUGCCAGCAGCCGCGGUAAUACGUAGGGAGCGAGCGUUGUCCGGAUUUACUGGGUGUAAAGGGAGCGUAGACGGCGAUGCAAGCCAGAUGUGAAAGCCCGGGGCUCAACCCCGGGACUGCAUUUGGAACUGCGUGGCUGGAGUGUCGGAGAGGCAGGCGGAAUUCCUAGUGUAGCGGUGAAAUGCGUAGAUAUUAGGAGGAACACCAGUGGCGAAGGCGGCUUGCUGGGCUCUAACUGACGCUGAGGCUCGAAAGUGUGGGGAGCAAACAGGAUUAGAUACCCUGGUAGUCCACGCCGUAAACGAUGAUUACUAGGUGUUGGGGGGAAUGGCCCCUUUCGGUGCCGGAGUAAAC
rnacentral:rRNA from 1 species